GAUGAAGAACGCAGCGAAAUGCGAUAAGUAGUGUGAAUUGCAGAAUUCAGUGAAUCAUUGAAUCUUUGAACGCACAUUGCGCCUUCUAGUAUUCUGGGAGGCAUGCCUGUUUGAGCGUCAUUAAACCUCUCUCAAGUAUGAUUACUUGGAUGUGAAGGAAGAGUACCUUAAACUUAAGGAGUGUUCUCCUUUGAAAUUGAUUAGCAGAUGGUAAUGUUAUUAAAUCCCUGAUGUUGUAAGAAAUAACAGUGGUUUUGUAGACUAUUAUCUAGCUUUAAAUUAUAAUUUUUAUUAUGGUUGACCUCAAAUCAGGUAAGGAUACCCGCUGAACUUAAGCAUAUCAAUAAGCGGAGGA
rnacentral:misc_RNA from 1 species